UAUCUCUGUAGAGUCUGCAUAUCAAUAAGCGGAGGAAAAGAAACUAACAAGGAUUCCCUUAGUAACGGCGAGUGAAGCGGGAAGAGCUCAAAUUUGAAAUCUUCAAGGUUCUACCCUGACGAAUUGUAGUUAUAGAAGUGUUUUCUGUUAGUGGAGUGGCAAAAGUUCUUUGGAAUAGGACAUCAUAGAGGGUGAGAAUCCCGUAUUUGGUCAUUCCUCCUAGCGUUGUGAUACACUUUCAACGAGUCGGAUUGUUUGGGAAUGCAGUCCAAAAUGGGUGGUAAAUUUCAUCUAAAGCUAAAUAUUGGCGAGAGACCGAUAGCGAACAAGUACCGUGAGGGAAAGAUGAAAAGAACUUUGAAAAGAGAGUUAAACAGUACGUGAAAUUGUCAAAAGGGAAGCGUUUGACACCAGUGUUGUUUUUCCGAAAAUCAAUUACGAAUGUUUUAGUUUUUGAGGAGUUAUGACUUCAUCGGCUUGCUCCUUUCUUUAUGAAACUUUCUUAAUGCACUUUUCGGUUAACAAGUCAACAUCAAUUUCUUUUGUUGUAAAAGGGUAUGAGGAAGGUGGCUUUCUUUUCGGAGAAAGUGUUUAUAGCCUUGUGCCUCUGCAAUCGGAGAGAUUGAGGUCUGCAGCGUAGACUCUUCGGGGUUAGAUACACUUGUGCUAAGCUAUAGCCUUGUAUAGACAACUUGUUGACUAUGCUCAGUCAUGUAGCUUACUCGCUUGCAGUAUUUUACCUACGCUUAGGAUGUUGAACGCGCACAGAGUCUC
rnacentral:rRNA from 1 species